GAGGAAAGUCCGGACACUAGGGGACAAUCGGACCGAGUAACACUUGGGCUUUCGGAUUCCAGAAAUGGGAAACGGGGGACGGAAAGUGCAACAGAAAGGAAACCGCCUACCUCGGUAGGUAAGGGUGAAAUGGUGGGGUAAGAGCCCACCGCUUUGUUCGUAAGAAUAAAGGCUUGGUAAACCCUCCGAUGUGCAAUCUCAAGUAAACAACCGUUAUGAGCCUGUCCCGCCAGGUUGUGGGUAGAGAGCAUUAGAUAAAUGAUCGCAUAGAACAGAAUCCGGCUUA
rnacentral:RNase_P_RNA from 1 species